AUACGGAGGGGGCUAGCGUUGUUCGGAAUUACUGGGCGUAAAGCGUACGUAGGCGGACUGGAAAGUUGGGGGUGAAAUCCCGGGGCUCAACCCCGGAACUGCCUCCAAAACUUCCAAUCUAGAGAUCGAGAGAGGUGAGUGGAAUUCCAAGUGUAGAGGUGAAAUUCGUAGAUAUUUGGAGGAACACCAGUGGCGAAGGCGGCUCACUGGCUCGAUACUGACGCUGAGGUACGAAAGCGUGGGGAGCAAACAGGAUUAGAAACCCCAGUAGUCC
rnacentral:rRNA from 1 species